UUCUCUGAAUACCAUUGUUUCCUAAUACUAAGAAGAUGUAGUAUUAAUAUUUAAGAACCAGCUAGCGUAACUUGUGAGCAUCAAAAUAGUUUUUGGUUCCCUUUGAGAUUAGGGUUUUUUGCUUGAGAAUGAUUGAUUUACAUAUUUAAGACCAUCUUCGAAUUUAUCGCCUGAUGUUUCAACCUGCGGCAAUACUUCCAUGUUCAUUGCUGUAUUAUGUCAUUCCCUGCCUCAAACUUUUUUUCCUAUCCUUCCUCUUCGUCGGUAGUUUUUACUUUGUCCUUUAGAAGGCACAUAAAUAUGAUGAUGAAGAGGAAGAAAAGAAGAAGCUUGCAGGGUUGUCCUUUCAUACAAGGAGAUUUCUAAUACUCUUGGUAUGUUUAAUCCGGCCAUUACACUCUUAGGCAUCUUAUUAUUCUGUUAUCUAUUGUUUGGGAUUCAUAUUAAAGCCUCAAGGGAAAACGGUAGCAAGAUUAGCUUUGGUCAGCAAAAAGAGGUACGCACCCUCGAUGGAGCUAUUGUUUGUUAUGAACUACGAACAAAGAAAUGACAAGCCCAAACUGUAAUCCCAUCUUUAGUAUAUGAUGUUUAGUAGGAAAAGCUAAAGUACCACUUCUUAAUCAUCAUUUUGAUUUUCUAAACCAAGGAUUGAACUAUCACAUCAUAUUAGUAUGGCAGGCAUGGAGGCAAGCAACAUGAAAUUUUCACUAAAGGGUCAUCUCAUAGUCGGAACAUUAUAUGUUGUUAUAUAAGGAGUGGAAAUUGACAACUCCAAUUGUAGAUGUUAAGCAACUGAAUUUAUUGUGUUUCUUAGUUUUGUGUUCGAGUAUAUUAA